AUUAUUUUAUAAUAAUUAAAUAACUGUAAUUUUUCCUAGAAAUCCUAAAGUAGCUCCACUUAUUACCUUCAAAUCAAUUAGAAGUUGGUUGAAUAAUGAAAGAACAAAAAACAGACCAAAAUUGCCACAUUCUAUAACUAUACUUGUUGAUGAGUUAAACCAUUAUGCACCAUUAGGUCAUGUUUUUAAAGGAUGUGUAACUUCGUGUGAUGGAAAAAAAGCAUUGUUGUUCUCUAAUAAUGAAUUGCUUCAAGCACUCAAUUCAUCUACUGAAAUUUAUUGUGAUGGUUCAUUUUCAGUUGUUUUUCGAGCACCUUCGCUUAAUCAACUUUAUAUGAUUUGCAUACGUUACAUGGACAAGAUUAUAGCAGCAAUAUUUGUUCUCUGUGAGACUUAUACUAUUGAUCUUUAUGAAAAAAUUUGAUUGAAAAUAAUAGAAUUUGUGCCUGAACUGCAAGAAAACCUGCAAUCCAUUAUGACAGAUUAUGAUUGCGCAGCAAUAAAUGCAAUGAAAAAAUAUUUUCCCAAUGCAGUUAUACAUGGAUGCUGGUUUCAUCUAAAUCAAGCUUUGCAAACAAAAUGGAAUUAUCUAGGCUUAAGCAAUUCUCCAAAUAUUAUAUUGUCUAUGACAAUGACAUUACCGUUCCUACCAAAAGAAUACUUUACAGAAGCCUAUAACAUUUUGUGCAAUGUCUGUGAAGAAAGCAAUCCUGAUUAUGAUAAAAUAAAGCAAUUUUUAAUUUACGUUGAAAAAGUAUGAAUAUCAGAGUAUUCAAAGCUAAGCGUAUACAGUUUCCAAUCAGUACAAAUAAUGUCAUUGAAAGCUUCCACAAAAUGAUAAAUAGAAAAUUAUGUGGUCGUCAUCCUAAUAUAUGGUUGUUUCUAGGUAAUGUAUAUUAGAAAUUGAUAAAACAAUAUGCGCAUGCGUGCGUUUAUAACUUAAACUUAAUUAUUAAUUUAAAUUAAUAUGGAUACUUUACCAACUGUAGAGAAAUUAAACAAUUUUAUAAUGAAGCAAAAAAUUGACUUUGAACGCUUAAAUAAUAAUCAGGAGAUACAAUCUGCAAGAUCACGAAAAAGUUUGGAAAGAGACUUAAAAAUUUUUCAAGCAAGAACUGAUUUGAUUCAUGGAAAGUAUAUUUAGGUUCAUACUUAUAUUUAUACUUAGUUUAUAUUUAUUUCUACCCUUUAUAUUUAUUCUUAUAUAAUUAUAAUUAUAGUUACUAAUGUUCAUGCUCACAUUUGUUCUAUAUUAAUAUUUAAAUAUACCAUAUUUUGCAGAUUAUCUCUUCAACAAUUUUUAUACACGUUUAUUAGCAAGUUAGAUGAGUAUCAAUACACUCAAAGUCAUAAUAUAUCAGAAGAAUCAUUGACUAGUAAUGCAAAUGAUUCUAAACAAUGUGGAAACUCUAAAACAAAGAAAAUAUUUACUAACAA